AGCACCGGCUAACUCCGUGCCAGCAGCCGCGGUAAUACGGAGGGUGCAAGCGUUAUCCGGAUUUAUUGGGUUUAAAGGGUCCGUAGGUGGGCUGAUAAGUCAGCGGUGAAAUCCUGCAGCUUAACUGUAGAACUGCCGUUGAUACUGUUAGUCUUGAGUGUAUUUGAAGUGGCUGGAAUAAGUAGUGUAGCGGUGAAAUGCAUAGAUAUUACUUAGAACACCAAUUGCGAAGGCAGGUCACUAAGAUACAACUGACGCUGAGGGACGAAAGCGUGGGGAGCGAACAGGAUUAGAUACCCUGGUAGUCCACGCUGUAAACGAUGGAUACUAGCUGUUUGGUUUAAGGAUUGAGUGGCUAAGCGAAAGUGAUAAGUAUCCCACCUGGGGAGUACGUUCGCAAGAAUGAAACUCAAAGGAAUUGACGGGGGCCCGCACAAGCGGAGGAACAUGUGGUUUAAUUCGAUGAUACGCGAGGAACCUUACCCGGGAUUGAAAUGUAGAUGACCGCCGGUGAAAGUCGGCUUCCCUUCGGGGCAUCUAUGUAGGUGCUGCAUGGUUGUCGUCAGCUCGUGCCGUGAGGUGUCGGCUUAAGUGCCAUAACGAGCGCAACCCCCGUCUUCAGUUGCCAUCGGGUUAUGCCGGGCACUCUGGAGAUACUGCCACCGCAAGGUGCGAGGAAGGUGGGGAUGACGUCAAAUCAGCACGGCCCUUACGUCCGGGGCGACACACGUGUUACAAUGGGGAGUACAGAGGGUUGCUACACCGCGAGGUGAUGCUAAUCCCUUAAAACUUUUCUCAGUUCGGAUCGGAGUCUGCAACUCGACUCCGUGAAGCUGGAUUCGCUAGUAAUCGCGCAUCAGCCAUGGCGCGGUGAAUACGUUCCCGGGCCUUGUACACACCGCCCGUCAAGCCAUGGAAGUUCGGGGUACCUGAAGUCGGUGACCGUUAAAGGAGCUGCCUAGGGUAAAACGAGUAACUAGGGCUAAGUCGUAACAAGGUAGCCGUACCGGAAGGUGCGGCUG
rnacentral:rRNA from 1 species